rnacentral:rRNA from 1 species
UGGGGAAUUUUGGACAAUGGGCGAAAGCCUGACCCAGCAAUGCCGCGUGUGUGAAGAAGGCCUUCGGGUUGUAAAGCACUUUUGUCCGGAAAGAAAUCCUUGGCUCUAAUACAGUCGGGGGAUGACGGUACCGGAAGAAUAAGCACCGGCUAACUACGUGCCAGCAGCCGCGGUAAUACGUAGGGUGCAAGCGUUAAUCGGAAUUACUGGGCGUAAAGCGUGCGCAGGCGGUUUGCUAAGACCGAUGUGAAAUCCCCGGGCUCAACCUGGGAACUGCAUUGGUGACUGGCAGGCUAGAGUAUGGCAGAGGGGGGUAGAAUUCCACGUGUAGCAGUGAAAUGCGUAGAGAUGUGGAGGAAUACCGAUGGCGAAGGCAGCCCCCUGGGCCAAUACUGACGCUCAUGCACGAAAGCGUGGGGAGCAAACAGGAUUAGAUACCCUGGUAGUCCACGCCCUAAAACGAUGUCAACUAGUUGUUGGGGAUUCAUUUCCUUAGUAACGUAGCUAACGCGUGAAGUUGACCGCCUGGGGAGUACGGUCGCAAGAUUAAAACUCAAAUGAAUUGACGGGGUCAUAGCUGUUUCCU